rnacentral:tRNA from 1 species
GACAGCUGUGGCGCAGUGGGUAGCGCAUCGGGCUUGUAACCCGAAAGUCACCGGUUCAAAUCCGGUCAGCUUUG